rnacentral:rRNA from 1 species
GCUUAACGCGAAGAACCUUACCAGCCCUUGACAUGGCAGGACGGUUUCCGGAGACGGAUUCCUUCACUUCGGUGACCUGUACACAGGUGCUGCAUGGCUGUCGUCAGCUCGUGUCGUGAGAUGUUGGGUUAAGUCCCGCAACGAGCGCAACCCUCGCCCUUAGUUGCCAUCAUUUAGUUGGGCACUCUAAGGGGACUGCCGGUGAUAAGCCGGAGGAAGGUGGGGAUGACGUCAAGUCUUCAUGGCCCUUACGGGCUGGGCUACACACGUGCUACAAUGGCGGUGACAGAGGGCUGCUAGGCCGCGAGGCCAUGCUAAUCCCUAAAAGCCGUCUCAGUUCGGAUUGCACUCUGCAACUCGAGUGCAUGAAGUCGGAAUCGCUAGUAAUCGCAGAUCAGCACGCUGCGGUGAAUACGUUCCCGGGUCUUGUACACACCGAGGUCUUGUACACACCGGGGGGGUCUUGGUACACACCGG